AAAGGGGUUAGCAGUUUAGUUUCUUUCAGUUUAUUCAAGUAAAAGCAAUUUACGACAAUUGUCACAGCAAAGCAAUUUACAAGGUAAAAAAGUUCAGAUUCAUAUCCAGAAAUACACUCUCACCGUCCAUUUUUGCCGGUACACAUUGAGGAUUAGAAAGAGAUUUAAGUGACCUUGGCAUUGUUGUUGGCGCUAAAAGAGAAAAGUUAAAAGAGUAACAAGACAGUGAACAUAAUGGUAGUUCAAAUAACUAGUCAUUACAACCGUUUGUCCUUGAAGGCGCUGGACCAAACCAGCAGGAGACCCAACCAGGUCACGAUCCUGUCCACUGAGGCAACAUAGGCUCACCAAGUUUGGACAGUGGCGAAAACUUCCUCUUGGCCAACAAUGAGAACCAACUGGACUUGUGUAGGAAGGCGACGGCCAGAGGAACAGACCCAAGAAUAACAAGGUGUACCUCAUAAAGUGGCUGGCAAGUGCAUAAUCAGAUCAGUCCAGCGUAAUCAUACAGACAAAUUUAAAUUCAGUUCCAUACAUUUCUGACAGAUUAGAUGUGUCUGAAGGAAACCCAUUCUCCUACUGUGCAUGAGUGGACUUAGUCUUUAUAGUGGAUGAACUGGAAACCUGCUGUAAGGAACAGAAAGUUUCAGAAGGGAAUCUGGACCAGAGCUUUAGACGCCCAGAACGUCUUCAGACGGCGUCUUAUUGAGUCAGUGGCAUUAAAAAGACAGACGCUGCUGGGUUUUAUUGUAGCUUGUGAUGAAGUGUCUUUGUUCUCCAACCCUCACAGAAGCAAUACAUGUUCACCUCAGGACGAUUACAUCAUGUUUCUUUAGAGACAGUGUUCCGAUACCGCACAAGGUCUCCGAGGAGCCACGGGAACAUUAGCCUGAUGUAUUUGUUUCUCUAUUAGUAUUGAUCCGUGUUAAGUGUCAAUUCAGGCACUUGGGAGAAAUGAUCCGGCGCACGAGGAAAGCAGUCGAUCAAUGCAAUCAAGGACAUCGCAAGCAGUAAAGCCUUUGCUUUGGUAGGAAACCUAAACUGCGGUAGAAGACUGCAGCACAGAGCGUCCACAGACACAACAACUACGCUGCGAGACACGCCGAAACCUUUCCUCCACAAACACACACCUUCUCUCCUCCUACUCCUCCGCCUCAUCUCAUCCCCCCCCCCAUAGCCGAAAGCCAGAGCAGACUGAUAAGCAGGCAGCCAGAGACGAACUAAUCCUCCCACAGUGAGAGACGUUUCGGAUGGCGCGUGAUGGAAAUCAAACCGAACUGACAGACGAAGGCAGGAUGAGCCAGGAGCAGAGGGUAGAAGUGAGGCGAGGAUACAGAUUAGCAAAAAAAAAAAAAGAAAAAAAAAGGUGAGGACGAAAUGCGAUCAAAUGACAAAGAGGGUCGGUUAUAAAAAAAUUUCUACUUAAUCCUCUUCCUCCUCCUCAGAUAUUGCCUUCCUUUUUUUUUUCUCGUUUCGAUAAAUGUGCAACCAAGCCUCCCAACCAGUUUGCCUGCUCAACCAUCUCCUCAUCAUUCCCACCCAUCCUCUCCUGCCUCCCUCCCCACCCCACCACCUCAUCUCUCUCCUCCUUUCUCAGUCUCUCUCUCUCUCUCUCUGUCUCUCCGUCUGACUGAGGCGGAUGUAGGUCAGUGCGUCUGGAGCCUGUCUGGAGCUGCAGAGAGCAUCAGAGCCAUCUCUGCCUUCGCGCCCUCAGCUGCGGACGACUUUCUCCAGGCUACCGGAGGACAAGAACCGGCGCCGACUGACCCCGACGUGCCCUGCAGGAGGAUGCGCCAUCCACAAGGGCGAAGGGGGUGUCAGGGGAGGGUUGUAUGUUUACUUUUGAGAAGCUUAGCCAGUAUAUGUUAUUUGCAUGUGUGCUGCAGAUGCAAAUGAAUGAGAAGGAGAGGCAGAGUGACGGUACAGACGGAGCAGGUCGAGAGGAGAUCGGCAUUAAAGUCGUCGCUCCGAGAGGUUUUCUGGAGGCGAAGAAAGGACUGAGUCCUAGAAAGAGGAAGGAAAGGACUGAAGAAAGCUGAAAACUGUGUCCAAACUCUGUGGAGUGACAGAAAUGGCAAAAAUAAGGCAAAGCAAAGUUUAAAAAGUUCCUUCAACGGGAUUAAACUGAAGACAUUUGUGGAACAGUAGAUCAUA